GACGAACGCUGGCGGCGUGCCUAAUACAUGCAAGUAGAACGCACAGUUUAUACCGUAGCUUGCUACACCAUAGACUGUGAGUUGCGAACGGGUGAGUAACGCGUAGGUAACCUGCCUGGUAGCGGGGGAUAACUAUUGGAAACGCUAGCUAAUACCGCAUAAUAUUAAUUAUUGCAUGAUAAUUAAUUGAAAGGUGCAAUUGCACCACUACCAGAUGGACCUGCGUUGUAUUAGCUAGUAGGUGAGGUAACGGCUCACCUAGGCGACGAUACAUAGCCGACCUGAGAGGGUGAUCGGCCACACUGGGACUGAGACACGGCCCAGACUCCUACGGGAGGCAGCAGUAGGGAAUCUUCGGCAAUGGACGAAAGUCUGACCGAGCAACGCCGCGUGAGUGAAGAAGGUUUUCGGAUCGUAAAGCUCUGUUGUAAGAGAAGAACGGGUGUGAGAGUGGAAAGUUCACACUGUGACGGUAUCUUACCAGAAAGGGACGGCUAACUACGUG
rnacentral:rRNA from 1 species